GACGAACCGUGCAAACGUUAUUCGGAAUCACUGGGCUUAAAGGGCGCGUAGGCGGACCAUCAAGUCAGGGGUGAAAUCCCACGGCUCAACCGUGGAAGUGCCUUUGAUACUGGUGGUCUCGAGGGAGGUAGGGGCGUGCGGAACUUCCGGUGGAGCGGUGGAAAUGCGUAGAUAUCGGAAGGAACACCGGUGGCGAAAGCGGCGCGCUGGACCUCUUCUGACGCUGAGGCGCGAAAGCCAGGGGAGCAACGGG
rnacentral:rRNA from 1 species